CUUGGGAAUGUCGAGGAAACCGUUACCAUUACUGUGUUUAGUAAUGGUAACGGUUCUCUUGCUGUACCCAGA
ensembl:miRNA MIR451A microRNA 451a